UACGUAGGUGGCAAGCGUUGUCAGGAAUUAUUGGGCGUAAAGCGCACGUAGGCGGAUCAGUCAGUCAGAGGUGAAAUCCCAGGGCUCAACCCUGGCACUGCCUUUGAUACUGCUGGUCUAGAGAUCGAGAGAGGUGAGUGGAAUUCCGAGUGUAGAGGUGAAAUUCGUAGAUAUUCGGAGGAACACCAGUGGCGAAGGCGGCUCACUGGCUCGAUACUGACGCUUAGGUGCGAAAGCGUGUGGAGCAAACAGG
rnacentral:misc_RNA from 1 species